CCUACGGGAGGCAGCAGUGGGGAAUAUUGCACAAUGGGCGCAAGCCUGAUGCAGCCAUGCCGCGUGUGUGAAGAAGGCCUUCGGGUUGUAAAGCACUUUCAGCGGGGAGGAAGGCGGUGAGGUUAAUAACCUCAUCGAUUGACGUUACCCGCAGAAGAAGCACCGGCUAACUCCGUGCCAGCAGCCGCGGUAAUACGGAGGGUGCAAGCGUUAAUCGGAAUUACUGGGCGUACAGCGCACGCAGGCGGUCUGUCAAGUCGGAUGUGAAAUCCCCGGGCUCAACCUGGGAACUGCAUUCGAAAAUGGCAGGCUAGAGUCUUGUAGAGGGGGGUAGAAUUCCAGGUGUAGCGGUGAAAUGCGUAGAGAUCUGGAGGAAUACCGGUGGCGAAGGCGGCCCCCGGGACAAAGACUGACGCUCAGGUGCGAAAGCGUGGGGAGCAAACAGGAUUAGAUACCCUUGUAGUC
rnacentral:rRNA from 1 species